rnacentral:rRNA from 1 species
AUGCCAUCCCAGAUCUCGGGACGAGAUCCUCUUGUAGUGGUGGAGUGUUGUGACGCCCCGAGACCGUUGCGCCAGGUGUUUUCCAGUUAUUCGAUGUCGUUGCCAUGUCUUUCGCUUGCGUGUUGCAUCUUGUCAUGUCAUCAUGUGCAUUGCAUCAUCAUGUUUUCAAAACUUGCAUUCGUCUGGGUUUCCCAGUUCUAUCCGUUGCCCGUUCUGAGCCAAGACACACUUGCACGUGCCCGCGGCAUGUCCGAAAUAGUAUUUUAUAAGUGGCCGGAAAAUGUUCUUGGAAUGGGUUGA